UGAGAUAAAGCAUACCAUAUUGACCUGCUCUGGACACUUUCCUUCAAUUAUCUGCAACCAAAAGUAAAACAGGUUGCGUGUCAACUAUAGCUUCACAUGAAACAUUCAACAUCUGUGGUCUCUAAAAUGAUGAGUGUGAAUAAAUAUAAAAAAUUUACAAAUAUUUUAAGUUCCAGUUGUUGACUACGAGAAUGGCAUUUACCUGGUGAACCUUGUACGUGCUAGCUUUUGGGCCACCAGAAAAAGGCGCAAAGACAACUGGACAUGGCCUGAUUUUUAGCUCAUUUAAAUCAAAUCGAAAUAAAUAUGAGGAAAAGUUAAAACAACAACAUAUAUAGCAAAUUUAAAAUAUUUAGCCCCCGUUUGAG
rnacentral:lncRNA from 1 species